UGGGGAAUAUUGCACAAUGGGGGAAACCCUGAUGCAGCAACGCCGCGUGAGUGAUGACGGCCUUCGGGUUGUAAAGCUCUGUCUUCAGGGACGAUAAUGACGGUACCUGAGGAGGAAGCCACGGCUAACUACGUGCCAGCAGCCGCGGUAAUACGUAGGUGGCAAGCGUUGUCCGGAUUUACUGGGCGUAAAGGGAGCGUAGGCGGACUUUUAAGUGAGAUGUGAAAUACCCGGGCUCAUCCUGGGUGCUGCAUUUCAAACUGGAAGUCUAGAGUGCAGGAGAGGAGAGUGGAAUUCCUAGUGUAGCGGUGAAAUGCGUAGAGAUUAGGAAGAACACCAGUGGCGAAGGCGACUCUCUGGACUGUAACUGACGCUGAGGCUCGAAAGCGUGGGGAGCAAACA
rnacentral:rRNA from 1 species